rnacentral:lncRNA from 1 species
GUCAUUUCCUGCGUCUCGCGGCGGGCCGCCGGGUGCAUGUGUGUUAUGGUGUGUUCUCCGUGACAUUCUUGAAGUUGUGAGUAAUUAGAUUGUCUUUUGCUGCGUUUAGGUUGUACCACCUCGUUGUUUUCGUGUACUUUUGCGCUCAUCGACGCGAAGUGAGCGUCCGGAGUGAUGGCGACGCGAUUAUGCGUGAGAAAGAAAGGCAGCAGCGGCCUACGACAUCGGUGUUUCUUUGUGACAGUGUGUUUACUAUGCCUACGACGGCCGUCAUUCGUGGCGAAGGAGAAAACAUCUUCCAUUCGGCCUGAAGAGUGAUGAAGUGGACGUUUUGUUUUUCGGCGGAAUGCAUCGUCAACAUGGUCCAUCCACUACGUAAACGAAACGGCGUGCCCAGAGUACACAUCGUGACAGCGCUCCGCCUUCAAACGGAGGGCCUUUUGCAAGGCGCAUGGACUGCUCAUAUAAAGGUUACAGUCAGCAUGAAGCAAUUGCAUGGGAACCGACUGGCUGUCUUGGGCCUACACGUUGCUGAAAAGACAGUGAAGACGUCUGAGCCGACAGGUAGAAAACAAGCAGAUGGCUACAGCGAUCACUGAAGAAAUGGCUUCAUCUAUGAUGGCUCGCCAUAGGACAUUGGAAUGGAGCUACACAAAGGCAUCACCAGCCUCGCCUGUGCCCUGGAACAUUGGUUUGAAUAAGACUGUUCUUCAGUGUAGAACGACCACAAGACUUGUCACCACAUACAAGGCAUAGUGCAAGCUAUAAAUAUUG